UGGAUCAGUGACCAUAACUGCCAGUACAUGAGGCUCAGAUGAUGAAUGAUGUGUGUCUGAAGCCCUGAGGUCCCA